CGCGGUAAUACGUAGGGUGCGAGCGUUAAUCGGAAUUACUGGGCGUAAAGCGUGCGCAGGCGGCUUUAUAAGCCAGAUGUGAAAUCCCCGGGCUUAACCUGGGAACUGCAUUUGGAACUGUAAGGCUAGAGUGUAGCAGAGGGGGGUAGAAUUCCACGUGUAGCAGUGAAAUGCGUAGAUAUGUGGAGGAAUACCGAUGGCGAAGGCAGCCCCCUGGGCUAACACUGACGCUCAUGCACGAAAGCGUGGGGAGCAAACAGGAUUAGAUACCCUGGUAGUCCACGCCCUAAACGAUGUCAACUAGGUGUUGGGGAAGGAGACUUCUUUAGUACCGCAGCUAACGCGUGAAGUUGACCGCCUGGGGAGUACGGUCGCAAGAUUAAAACUCAAGGGAAUUGACGGGGACCCGCACAAGCGGUGGAUUAUGUGGAUUAAUUCGAUGCAACGCGAAAAACCUUACCUACCCUUGACAUGCCAGGAACUUUCCAGAGAUGGAUUGGUGCCCGAAAGGGAACCUGGACACAGGUGCUGCAUGGCUGUCGUCAGCUCGUGUCGUGAGAUGUUGGGUUAAGUCCCGCAACGAGCGCAACCCUUAUCAUUAAUUGCCAUCAUCCAGUUGGGCACUUUAAUGAGACUGCCGGUGAUAAACCGGAGGAAGGUGGGGAUGACGUCAAGUCCUCAUGGCCCUUAUGGGUAGGGCUUCACACGUAAUACAAUGGUCGGUACAGAGGGUUGCCAACCCGCGAGGGGGAGCCAAUCCCAGAAAGCCGAUCGUAGUCCGGAUCGUAGUCUGCAACUCGACUACGUGAAGUCGGAAUCGCUAGUAAUCGCGGAUCAGCAUGUCGCGGUGAAUACGUUCCCGGGUCUUGUACACACCGCCCGUCACACCAUGGGAGUGGAAUCUGGCAGAAGU
rnacentral:rRNA from 1 species